UACGUAGGGUGCGAGCGUUAAUCGGAAUUACUGGGCGUAAAGGGCGCGUAGGCGGCCAGCACAAGUCAGUUGUGAAAUCUCCGAGCUUAACUCGGAAAGGUCAACUGAUACUGUGCGGCUAGAGUGCGGAAGGGGCAACUGGAAUUCUUGGUGUAGCGGUGAAAUGCGUAGAUAUCAAGAGGAACACCUGCGGCGAAGGCGGGUUGCUGGGCCGACACUGACGCUGAGGCGCGAAAGCUAGGGGAGCGAACGGG
rnacentral:rRNA from 1 species